UGCACUAUCUAUUGUAAGUCGCUCUGGAUAAGAGUGUCUGCAAAAUUACUAAAA
rfam:Salmo salar isolate Sally breed double haploid chromosome ssa13, whole genome shotgun sequence.